UUCACGUUAAGUAAGUGACUAGGGUUAAUGAUAGAUAGGUCUGUAUGCAGAAAGUCAACUAGUGACUUUGCAGAUUACUUUCUGGGGUUUGGACUUUAGCAAACUGUUUUAAGACAGCAUUUUUAUCAGCUUAGUAGUAUUCUAUUUUAUAAAAUAGUGGUUAUAAAUAAGAAGUCAGUCUUAAUUCUUUUUAGUUUCUGUAGUCAGAGAAAAGCCUAAUUAUGUUUCUUGUGGCUUUUCUCUCUUAUCUCUAAAGUUCACAAUCAUUUACACUGACGUAGCCUGUGGUCCCUAGAGAUUUCAUAAGUUUAUCUUGAUGUUUUUUUAUGUUCACGUCAGUACAGACAGCCAUUUCUCAAAAUUAUUUUCAUCUUGUUUAUUCACUGGUUCUUUUGAUAUAUGUCUCUUGUAACACAUGCUUCUUUUAAUCAAACUUUUUGCAAGGAAGGAGAAUUUUAAUUUAAUACCUUGGCUUUUUUUUUUUCUGGAUUGCUUUAAUUUUUUUUCUACUACUCAGUCUGUUUUUCCACUUUUCUUUCCAUUAUAUUUUUUUCACCUUUUUUUUCCCCAACUGACUUUGGCUGGCUUAGUUUGGACAAAAACUAUGCCUAGUUUUGCCUAGAUUUUUAGAGCUUAAAAAAUUGCCAUUAAUCACUGGUAUCAUAACAUCCUCUUAAGGCAAGUUAUCUUGUUGCUCUGUCCUCUAAGUGUAGCAUCUAGAGUCAGAAGGCUUCUGGCAAGGAUAAAAAUAGCCUUCCUGCUUGCUGGUUUGUUGUUAGCUUUACUGGCAGUAGGAAAUCUUUUGAAUUCCUUAAUUGGGCCAACUUCUUACUAGGUUCUCUCUAGACAUUCCCUUCUGCCCGAAAUUCUUAGAAGCUUUUAGAUCUUGUGUAGCUUCGCACCUGCCCCAAGUUGUAGUCAAAGUAGUCCUUCCUGUAUAUGAAACCUUCCUCCGUGUGUAAAAACAUAUUCCAUUGACCUCACCCAUCUUACAGAUAAGUGUUAUUUUCUUUUGCCACUAUUACAAUCUGUUUUUCAAUCAUCCUAUCACAAUUAAAACAUUAAAUUUGGGGUUUUGGUUCAAAAUGAAGAUACUCCCUGGUUUUAUUGAAAAGAAAAAUUUUAGGUUGAAUUUUUGAAGUUUUUAUUAACUAAAAUUCUUUUGUAUCUUUGCCAGUUUGACUUUGAUAAAAGUAAGGGGUUAGGUUUUGUUCUUUUCUCUCCUUCUGAGAAGACUUAUAUCCUUGUUUUUAAUCAUGGACAGUAGCAAAUUCUCAUUUUUCUGAAGCUGAAAAAUCCCCCAGAUUUGCCACUCCCUUCUCCAAGGUUCCAGUUUGGAACUUUCUGGGCAAAAGGAAUCCUCCUUGUCCUUUCUCUUACAAGUGGAAAAUUGUUGGUUGUCUUCGGCUUAUAACUGAGGAAGGGAAAGGAGUUAAUUUGGUUAAGUACCUACUGCAUACUGAGGGACUUUUCUUGGCAUUCUGCAAACAUUAUUUCAAGACUGUCUCACAACAGCUUUGUGAAGUAGAUGGAAAUAUCUCUUUUUUCCUGAAGUUCAGUAAAGCUAAAUAAUUUGACCUAGGUCACAAGAUGAAAUUGCCUUGACUCUACCCAUUACACUGUAUCUUCCGGGGUGGAGAGACCACCAACUGCUGACUUUGCUUCAUUCAUUUUCCACAGCUGUUUAUGGAGCACCAUUCUCUGCUCCAGGCUCUGGGAUAUCAAACCCCAAAUUCAUAAAGAUCUCAUUGCCCUACAGCAAGAGAUUAAAACAAGUAAUGUAAACACAGCGUAAUAAGUGUAAAGAAUGCUGGAAGGAGUACAGAGUGUUAUCUGAAUUAGAGCAAGGAUGAUGUGGGGCAGGGAAGGCUAAUCAUGGGAUGUGAGACCUAGCAGAAGGACUGCCUGGAUAAAAGUGUGGAGGCUUGAGUGGUAAGACAUUGCGGACAGAGAGCAAAGGGCAUUCUAGGUAGAGGGAGUAACCCAGAAGUUGAAGUUAUGGGCCAGCAGUUCUGAAUGGCUGGAGAGCCUCAUGUGGGAAGGGAAAUGGCCGUGUGAAGAGUUAGGAAAGGCAUUAAUUCAAAGAUUUUUGUAAGCACUGGCUUUUGAGCUGAAAGCCAGAUCUGUAGCAGGGAAGGGUUUUGUUUAGCCUAAACUCUGUGUGUGUUUAGUGAAUUUGAAGUGGCUCUUUGGGAGGGGACAAGACUCUGCAGUUGAUAUCAGUCCCAGCCAGUUCCUUCUUUGUGAUUUUGCAUGGGAAUGUCUUUUUUUGGAAAUGGGUUUGUAACACGGAUAGAUAAGGGGGUAGAAUAAGCUUACUGAUUUUGAUUUGGGGAGUUAUUUUUAAGUCCAUAGACUAAAUUAUUGAAAACUAAAUUUAUGCCAUUAAAUUACAGAACAUAUUGAAUGCUUUUUUGUUAGCUCAUAUUGAUAUGUCUUCUGCAUAUGUGUAAAUAUAAAGUGGGCAUUCAAAACCAGUGGAUUUAUUACACAUUUCUUGAGCUUUGCUGUCCAGUGUCCAGGUCCCCACAGCGCCAUGUUGCUGCAAGUCUUAAGUGGUGUUUGUAAAAACAGCAGAUGUGCCAGGGGUAGGUGGACUACCUCUUUUAAAAUAUUAUUUAUGACAGUAUAUUUUGGUUUACUUAGAUGUGAGCUAAACAAAAUUAGCAGGAGAAGAGGUAGGAGCAGGACCUCUAGUUAGUUAAUCAACAACAACAAAUGUAUGUGUCUGUGUAUGUGUGUGUGUAUUAGAAUUUUUUUUUUUCUCCCAGAGAUAUUCACCUUUGACCUGAACACUUUCUAGUUCUUUGUCUAACACAGAUAUGUGGGUACAUGAAAUAAAGUUCAGACAGCAAAGCACUAGUCAGGGUCUUUCUUCCAAGUGGCCACUCCGCAGAUCAAAGACCAACCAUUCUGCCAAAUAGUACGAGAGAGGCCCACUCCCUUUCAUCACUAUACCAUGAAGAUUAAUGAAAGAAUUCUCUUCAUUCUGUUGGAGGAUAGUAGGGGCAUGUAUUCAUGGGAGAGUAAUUAUGGACUCGAGUGUGGUAAGCAGCUUUAUAAACCAAAUAAUUAACAUUUAAAGUUCAGUUUCCCAUAAAACCCGUAAGGAAAACAUUGUCAGUGGCUUUAUUUAUACCCACUGUCCUGUUUGCUACCUCUAUUCCAUGAAUUCUGGAUAAAUACAUCAUCUAUGGAGAAGGAACAUUAAACAAGGAAAGAAAAACUCCCUGGUGAUUGUAAUAUGGAGCCAGAUUUGGGAAGCAAUGCAAGAUACCCUUAAACCAUCUUCCCAGUGUUCAGAAUCCCACAAUGUUUCUGUGUUAUACUCUGUUCUCUGUGAGACUGGGGCUAUUUCAAAUGUUUUAAUAUAAAAACCCUCUGCAAUUCGGUAAAUGACUUAAAAUUGAGUAUCUUUUUCCUUUUGGGUAAAUUCAAGCGACGCAGACAAAUUUUAACUCGUUUUGAAGAAGAUCCAAUUGCUUAAUAGAAACACUAAAUCCCCUCAUACUGCCACCAGCAGUGAAUGUACUGCCUACAGUCCUAUCAACAUUGAAUUUCAUCAUGAGUACUAUUUUUUUGCUAGUGUAAUUGGUAUAUAACAAUACAGUCAAGCUGCUUUAAUUCAUAUUGCUAUGAUUACCCUGUAAGCUUCUGUGAUGAAGGCCUUGUGAAAAUCUUCAGAUCCAAACAACUAAGCAAGAUACCUCAAGCUAAAUACUACCCAGCCUGAUACAUUUACUAAAGUGGUCUUGUGAUAAAUAGAGGUUAUUCUUUUCUAGAACAUAGUUGCUCAAUGAACAUGCAAUGAAUCUAAAGGGAUUGUUUAGGCUAUAUUACGAAUUUCCUUUUGUCGACAUUCUUAAUUAUCAUGACAGCAAAUUAGGCAAAAUCAAACACACCAGUUAUCGUUCAACUUUGAUGAUCCCUGAUGACUGGCAAGGUUUUAAAAUUGCGCAAAGUAAGACCACUUUUCAAUAGUCAACUGGGUUUAAUAAAUCUAUUUAAAGCUAUUUUUAUCAUUCCACUAGUGCAAACAAUAAGUGAGAACAGGUUAGAGAUAUACAUAGAGACCUUGUGUAUGUCUUUGGAUGCCCCUAAAAUCUAAAGGGAUCAGAAGAGUACAGCCCCAGAGUCUUUUCAGUUAGAAUAGAAUUAUGAAAAAUUUCAGGGUCAUAUACUCAUGGCUAUGACUCUUGAGUAAUCAGCUGGGCCAGACCUGCAGUAGUUCCUGGAAAUAUAAAUACUCUUCCUAUUCUCUCUCCUAUCCUAUUGUAAUUUCAAAGAAGGUGAAAUAAGAACAGUUGAAUAAAUAUCACCACAGUUUGCAUGUAAAUAAAUUUGAAUGCAACACCACAAGUAUGUCCUUGGUCUGUUCUUUCCAAAGUUUGAUCUAUUAAACAAACUAUUCGGUUGGUGCGAAAGUAAUUGUGUAUUUUUUUUUUUUUUU